rnacentral:rRNA from 1 species
AUUGAACGCUGGCGGCAGGCCUAACACAUGCAAGUCGAGCGGAGCGGCGGACGGGUGAGUAAUGCCUAGGAAUCUGACUGGUAGUGGGGGAUAACGUCCGGUAACGGGCGCGAAUACCGCAUACUAUCAGAUGAGCCUAGGUCGGAUUAGCUAGUUGGUGGGGUAAAGGCCUACCAAGGCGACGAUCCGUAACUGGUCUGAGAGGAUGAGCAGUCACACUGGAACUGAGACACGGUCCAGACUCCUACGUGAGGCAGCAGUGGGGAAUAUUGGACAAUGGGCGAAAGCCUGAUCCAGCCAUGCCGCGUGUGUGAAGAAGGUCUUCGGAUUGUAAAGUACUUUCAGCGGGGAGGCGUUACCCGCAGAAGAAGCACCGGCUAACUCCGUGCCAGCAGCCGCGGUAAUUG